CCUACGGGCGGCAGCAGUGGGGGAUAUUGCACAAUGGGGGAAACCCUGCUGCAGCGACGCCGCGUGUGGGAAGACGGUCCUCUGGAUUGUAAACCACUGUCCCCAGGGACGACGAUGACGGUACCUGGGGAGGAAGCUCCGGCUAACUACGUGCCAGCAGCCGCGGUAAUACGUAGGGAGCAAGCGUUGUCCGGAAUUACUGGGUGUAAAGGGAGCGUAGGCGGGAUGGCAAGUUGGGUGUUAAAUCUACCGGCUCAACUGUGAGUCGCACUCAAAACUGCUAUUCUUGAGUGAAGUAGAGGCAGGCGGAAUUCCUAGUGUAGCGGUGAAAUGCGUAGAUAUUAGGAGGAACACCAGUGGCGAAGGCGGCCUGCUGGGCUUUUACUGACGCUGAGGCUCGAAAGUGUGGGGAGCAAACAGGAUUAGAUACCCUUGUAGUC
rnacentral:rRNA from 1 species